CGGCUGACACUCCCCAUGGCGCGGCGAUGCAGUGCCGUGCUGCGGCCUUGUGAAAGCUGAAAUCGCCGAGCCUCUUUAAGGCAGGAGCACGGUCGACCUGUGACCGCAGCGCCGUUCCAGGGGCGCGACAUAU
rnacentral:snoRNA from 1 species